CGUGUAGGCGGUGCGAUAAGUCGGGCGUGAAAUCCCCGGGCUUAACCCGGGGCGGUCGCUCGAAACUGUCGUGCUCGAGGGUGGGAAAGGGAAGUGGAAUUCCCGGUGUAGCGGUGAAAUGCGUAGAGUAUCGGGAGGAACACCUGCGGCGAAGGCGGCUUCCUGGACCAUUACUGACGCUGAGGCGCGAAAGCUAGGGGAGCAAACAGGAUUAGAUACCCUGGUAGUCCUGGCCCUAAACGUUGAGCACUGGAUGUAGCCCUUCACCGGGCUGUGUCGAAGCUAACGCAUUAAGUGCUCCGCCUGGGGAGUACGGUCGCAAGGCUGAA
rnacentral:rRNA from 1 species